AUCUCUGUAAAAUAAUCAUUUUUUUAACUAGCGUGGCAGUGAAAUCUUUGCUUUGUAGCUAAAGUCAACAGUGACAGAGUUUGAGCUCAAAUAAAUGCUGUGAUGUCUGGAGCCCUUUGCAGAAGAGAGAAGGCAAGCUUCUACAAUGGGCUUCUGUGGGGCUUGCCAACAAGCGGCUAUUUUGCACAGGGCGCUGCUGACUGAAGUGAUCCCCACGGGCCGAGCGGAGGAGAGGAGGGAGAGGAAGCCUCGGAGGGAAAAGGGAUAGGUUUGGAGGAGCCUCGUUGAUGCACUCACGCUCACACAAACUCAAACACAAUGUCCCCUCUCAGUCCUGGUCUGUGACCGGCCCGUGGCAUUGCCCAGAUGUUCAUGGAUGUUCAUGUGAGCGGACACUUCCUACACUCCUUACUUUCAUCUCCCUGCAUCAUUCGAGCUGAAAGCUCCUUCCUGUCGAUGUACUUGGCUAUAUUUGCGUCUGACCUGUCUGCCAUAUGUAAUAUCAAAGCCUCUGUCAGCAUGGAGUUGAAUGGGAACAAAAGAGAGGCCUCCAUUAAUGAUUAACUGUUCUAAAAGCCCCGGCUUUUGUAUUCCCAUGGUGCCCAGGCUAUCUGGCCACCAUGUGACAUGCUCACAGCAUUUUUCGAGCAGAUUGGGGGAAAGCUAGUGAGCAAACACAGGUGCUUUGGAGCAGCGCUGCCGACGCUGUCAGGGACAACCACAAACAAGAGCAGCUAUGCCUGGCUAAAUGAAUCCCCACCCCUCCCAGCACCAUCACCACCUCCUCAACCCCCCGCUCUGUCACCAGCUAACUUGUUUGCUAGCUCCCUAUAGCUUUCUCCCUCUGCAUGGUCACCGCAAGCCAACCCCCCCCCCCUCCUUCCACAAAUGCAACGUCCGCCGCAGCCAGGCUCCAGAACUUCUCACACCCUCCACAGAAACAAACAAAUAAAAGUGAAGACGGCCAACCACUUCUUUGAGGUGAUGGCAUUUGUUGCGGUCAUGACUAGUGGGAGAGCAAACAAAUUAAUGGUGUCCUUGUUUUCACUUUCUAAACUAAACUAAAUGUCUUUUACUUCAAGUGUGGCAAUACCAAUGACCCCAGUGUCAAAUGCUGCAUAAAGGUUGAACAUUCUUGCACUUGAAAUGUUGAGAGGAGGCCAUAAGAAAUUAACCAAGACUUGAGUAUAGCUGUACGUAAGUGGAACUAAAAUCAAGACCAGUCAUUGGUUAAAUAAAAGAGUAUUUUAGCAGCAAACAAUACAAAAGGCAUCUGAAGCUCCAAACCUUUUCAUCAGAGUGACUCGGGGUGCUGUGUCGCUCGACUUUGAUAAGACAAUCAGAUGAUAGGGUGGCGUUAUCUUAACAUGGCUUUUCCGACUGGGAGACAAAUGAACACUGUGUGAUAAAGGGAACAAAAGCUUUGCUCUUAUUGGCUGGUUCCACUGGGAAAAGGAAAAAUUAUCAGAGUGGAAAAUUCACAUUAGGUGCUGGUAUUUCAUUUUCAAUUUGGCACUCAAGCCAGGUCACAGGGACAACUUUAUAUUUUAUCACUUAUUAUUAUAUAUAUAUCUAUUAUCUAAUUCUGGAUUUUGGGUUUGAAAAAUUGCAUUUACCUGAACCUUUAAACCAGUUAUCAAAGGAUAAAGGGGAUAAAAGUGCUUCAUAAAAGAUGAUUUACAUUAGGAAGAGAGAAAAUGAAUCUGUAAACAUAAAAGUUGCAAAAACAGAGAAAAGACUGGCUGGAAGAGAUCAAAAAUCAAAGAGAAAGUGAAAAUGUCAGAGAUGUUGCUUGCAUUUGAGACCAAUGAGUGCUUACCGUAAAAAGGUGAAAUGUGGUUUCAUCAGUUUCUGAUCAAUGAAACAUCAAUUUUUCUCUGGGUUCUCUGACUUUUACAGCCUAUUUCUCAGUGUAAGAAAAAAACGAGUAGGCACAAGGGUUCACUCAAAGUUUUGCUUGCCCAUUUCCCCAAGAAAUGAUUGGAAAAAUAUCAGUGCCCCCUGGUAUGAAAUGUUAGCACUUCGUUGGAACUAGAACUAAUUAAAAACAAAAAAUUUUGUCAUGUUCUGCGUGAAUAAAAUAUUUUAUUUUUAA